AAUAGAUACCCCGGUAGUCCACGCCCUAAACGAUGUCUACUAGUUGUCGGGGGGUAACUCCUUCGGUAACGCAGCUAACGCGUGAAGUAGACCGCCUGGGGAGUACGGUCGCAAGAUUAAAACUCAAAGGAAUUGACGGGGACCCGCACAAGCGGUGGAUGAUGUGGAUUAAUUCGAUGCAACGCGAAAACCUUACCUACCCUUGACAUGCCACUAACGAAGCAGAGAUGCAUUAGGUGCCCGAAAGGGAAAGUGGACACAGGUGCUGCAUGGCUGUCGUCAGCUCGUGUCGUGAGAUGUUGGGUUAAGUCCCGCAACGAGCGCAACCCUUGCCAAUAGUUGCUACGAAAGGGCACUCUAUUGGGACUGCCGGUGACAAACCGGAGGAAGGUGGGGAUGACGUCAAGUCCUCAUGGCCCUUAUGGGUAGGGCUUCACACGUCAUACAAUGGCUGGUACAGAGGGUUGCCAACCCGGCGAGGGGGAGCCAAUCCCACAAAACCAGUCGUAGUCCGGAUUGCAGUCUGCAACUCGACUGCAUG
rnacentral:rRNA from 1 species